GAAUAGGUAUUCAGACCAGGACCC
rnacentral:piRNA from 1 species